rnacentral:rRNA from 1 species
AUUUUUGGACUAUGGGGGAAACCCUGAUCCAGCCAUCCCGCGUGUACGAUGAAGGCUUUCGGGUUGUAUAGUACUUUGGCAGAGAAGAAAAGGUAUCUCCUAAUACGAGAUACUGCUGACGGUAGCUGCAGAGUAAGCACCGGUUAAAUACGUGCCAGCAGCCGUGGUAAUACGUAGGGUGCAAGCGUUAAUCGGAAUUACUGGGUGUAAAGCGCGUGUAGGCAGUUCGGAAAGAAGGAUGUGAAAACCAAGGGCUCAACCUUGGAACUGCAUUUUUAACUGCGAAGCUAGAGUAUGUCAGAGAGGGGUAGAAUUCCACGUGUAACAGUGAAAUGCGUAGAUAUGUGGAGGAAUACCGAUGGCGAAGGCAGCCCCCUGGGAUAAUACUGACGCUCAGACACGAAAGCGUGGGGAGCAAACAG